rnacentral:rRNA from 1 species
UUUAAUUGAAGAGUUUGAUCAUGGCUCAGAUUGAACGCUGGCGGCAGGCCUAACACAUGCAAGUCGAACGGUAACAGGAAGCAGCUUGC